UACGAAGGGGGCUAGCGUUGCUCGGAAUUACUGGGCGUAAAGCGUGCGCAGGCGGUUGUGCAAGACAGAUGUGAAAUCCCCGGGCUUAACCUGGGAAUUGCAUUUGUGACUGUACGGCUAGAGUGUGUCAGAGGGGGGUAGAAUUCCACGUGUAGCAGUGAAAUGCGUAGAGAUGUGGAGGAAUACCGAUGGCGAAGGCAGCCCCCCUGGGAUAACACUGACGCUCAUGCACGAAAGCGUGGGGAGCAAACAGG
rnacentral:rRNA from 1 species